rnacentral:lncRNA from 1 species
UGUAUCCUACUGAAGAGAUAAGUGUUUAAGAGACUCAAGCUCAUGCAAUCAGGUGUGCUGAGGUAACAGGCAACUAAAAGAAGCAGAAAAAACCAGUUUACAAAAAAACCAAAGCACAGCUUCAAAUAAGACACAGCUCUGCCCUGGGAACUCUUGUGGCACAGCCACCUCGUUCAAUAUGGCAGGCACUGUCCCCAAAACAAAAGACAUCAGCAGAGGAGACACAGUCUGUUUCAGGGCAGUACCAAAUAUAUAAAAAAACAAGGUUUUGGGGAAGAUACAUGCUAUGAACCAAGCACAUGGCAGGUAUCCAGAAUCCUCAGUUCUAUAUAGAUUUAUCAGACCAUUAUCCACGGGCUUCCUGACACAGAGCUUCCAGUCAUCAGGAACUAGAAGGUGAUGGGCAUACCACAUUUGGUGCCUGUACAUAAGAAAAUCUGAGGUGGAGUGGGGAAUGGGAACACUUUCUUUACUCAGAAUUUUAUUUUUCAGUGUGUACACAGAAUAAAAAUCUUCUUAGUGCUAUAACAAUCUCAGAAUUCUAAUGCUUUGCUGCUAAAAGCAAAUAAUAUAAAAAUUGUUUUUCUCAAUGGAUAGAUAUCUUCUUGCUUUAAUUAUAUAAUAUUUUCUUCAAUUUUUGGCAUUGCUCCUUCCUUAUUUUUAUUAUUUUUUCUCUUUUUUUCCUGCAAACACUAUGGCAACUUGGGCAUUUGCUACUUCUUGAUUGCAGCAUCUAGAAGCAGAUGACAAAAUGAACGAGUGAAAAAACAACUUUUCCCUGUGCUUAGUUCACUUAAGCUUCUUUGUUUUGUUUGAUGGUCUUGACAGUAUGAUUUUGGAUCGCUUAAUAUAUAAUAUUGUGUUGUGCUAGAAAAAACUAACAUAUACAUGUAUUGUUUUCAUUUAAAAAUUAAUUAAAGAGAAAGAGAAAAGCAACAUUUUAAUGCCCCAGGAAUUGAAACUAACGUUUUCUGUCUCGGCUGGACCCCUACGCCCAUCUUUUGAUUUGCUGAUAUCAUUUGCCAUGUGAUGGUCAAUACAUGUCUGCUGGGUAAGCAGUAAAAUUCUGGGGGCAAGCCAGUUUUGAGAAGCUUAUAAUCUGACUGGGGGAGACAUAUCUUCAAAUUUUGGAAAGAUAUUUAAUUUCUAAUUAUCUUAAAAGCAAAUAAAAGAAACAUCAACUGACCAUGAUCCUGCACAUUUCUCAUCUCAGCAUCACUACGGUAAAAUAAGCCAAUGAUGAACACUGCCAUUUCACUACAAACUCUCUCCUUUUAUUAACGUUGAGUAUGAACACGAAACGUGAUCACCUGUUUAAAAGAAAAACA